UGCCAAGAAAAGCCUCUAGCGAGCUUGCACGGUACCCGUACCCCAAACCGACACAGGUGGGCAGGUAGAGAAUACCAAGGCGAUCGGGAGAACUGUGGUUAAGGAACUCGGCAAAAUGCCUCCGUAACUUCGGGAGAAGGAGGACCCCAUCAGGGUGAAGGACCUCGCGUCCGGAGCUCGAAGGGGUGGCACAGACCAGGGGAAAGCGACUGUUUACUAAAAACACAGCAGCGUGCGAAGUCGUAAGACAAUGUAUACGCUGUGACGCCUGCCCAAUGCCGGAAGGUUAAAGGGAAAGGUUAGCCCGCAAGGGCGAAGCUUUGAACUGAAGCCCCGGUGAAUGGCGGCCGUAACUAUAACGGUCCUAAGGUAGCGAAAUUCCUUGUCGGGUAAGUUCCGACCUGCACGAAUGGCGUAACGACUUUCCUACUGUCUCAACCACAGACCCGGCGAAAUUGAAGUACGAGUAAAGAUGCUCGUUAGCUGCAGAAGGACGGAAAGACCCCGUGGACCUUUACUAUAGCUUGAUGUUGAGUUUUGUUAUGUGUUGUGUAGGAUAGGUGGGAGACUUGGAAGCAUUGGCGCCAGCCAGUGUGGAGUUAACCUUGAAAUACCACCCUGCUCAUGACGGAGCUCUAACCCACGUCCCUGAUCGGGAUGGGGAACAGCGUCUGGUGGGUAGUUUGACUGGGGCGGUCGCCUCCUAAAGAGUAACGGAGGCGCCCAAAGGUUCCCUCAGGCUGGUUGGCAAUCAGCCGUCGAGUGCAAUGGCACAAGGGAGCUUGACUGCGAGACCUACAAGUCAAGCAGGUGCGAAAGCAGGGCAUAGUGAUCCGGCGGUUGCGUGUGGAAGCGCCGUCGCUCAACGGAUAAAAGGUACCCCGGGGAUAACAGGCUCAUCUUCCCCAAGAGUCCAUAUCGACGGGAAGGUUUGGCACCUCGAUGUCGGCUCAUCGCAUCCUGGGGCUGAAGCAGGUCCCAAGGGUUGGGCUGUUCGCCCAUUAAAGCGGUACGCGAGCUGGGUUUAGAACGUCGUGAGACAGUUCGGUCCCUAUCCUCUGCAGCCGGAAGGAACUUGAGAAAAUCUGUCCCUAGUACGAGAGGACCGGGAUGGACGCAGCUCUCGUGUGCCAGUUGUCCUGCCAAGGGCACUGCUGGUUAGCGACCUGCGGAAGGGAUAAGCGCUGAAAGCAUCUAAGUGCGAAGCCCAUUUCUAGAUGAGGUUCCUCACUGGGUUAACCAGGUAAGGCCCGUGAUAGACCAACACGUUGAUAGG
rnacentral:rRNA from 1 species